CAGCGAGCCGCGAGCGCCCUUCUCCAGUCCCGGCUUGGAACUGAACUGUGUGAGCACGGGUCCUGGAACCCGGGCCCAGAACCGGCGAGCCCAGGUCUGAGCCCAGAGCUCAGCGGUCAGCCUCGUAGGCCCUGACUCGGAAUCGAGCCGAGGCGCUGAGGUUGGAGCCGGAGAGCGUGAGAGCCGAAGAGCAGGGAGGGCGGGCCGGCUGCGCGUCCGACGAGUCGCAGAGCAGGACCGCGGAAGGCAGGGAGACGGCCGCAAGCCCAGGGCAGAGGGCAGAGGGCAGAGAGCGGCCUGGCUCGGCGGAGAGGGCGCCGCCCGGCCGGAACCAAGCUCGCCGCCCGGGACGGCGGGCCCCGUGGGGCGCGGACCCAGGGUGGCCGUGGGUCCGCAGCGACUCCCCGGCCGACGGCGGGGGGCGUGCCCCCUCCCAGCCCAGCCUCCCCAACCCGGCCCGCCCGCCGCGUCGCGGGGGCAUGUGAGCGGGAAGCCUAGGCUGCCAGCCGCGAGGACCGCACGGAGGAGGAGCAGGAGCGCGGAGCCGCGAGCCCCGAGCCCCGAGCCCGGCGCCUGGCUGAGUAGAUGUCCAUGAGGAGCCCCAUCUCUGCCCAGCUGGCCCUGGAUGGCGUUGGCACCAUGGUGAACUGCACCAUCAAGUCAGAGGAGAAGAAAGAGCCUUGCCACGAGGCCCCCCAGGGCUCAGCCACUGCCGCUGAACCUCAGCCUGGAGACCCAGCCCGGGCCUCCCAGGAUAGUGCUGACCCCCAAGCUCCAGCCCAGGGGAAUUUCAGGGGCUCCUGGGACUGUAGCUCUCCAGAGGGUAAUGGGUCCCCAGAACCCAAGAGACCAGGAGUGUCGGAGGCUGCCUCUGGAAGCCAGGAGAAGCUGGACUUCAACCG
rnacentral:lncRNA from 1 species